CAUGCAGUCGUACGAGAGUUUUUAACUCAAGUGGCGGACGGGUGAGUAACACUUAAGAAUUUGCCUUUAGGAGGGGGAUAAUAACUAGAAAUGGUUGGUAAUACCCCAUAUGCUUUCGAGUGAAAUGGUUUUUCCGCCUAAAGAGAAGCUUGCGGCUGAUUAGCUUGUUGGUGAGGUAAUAGCUCACCAAGGCGACGAUCAGUAUCUGGUUUGAGAGGACGAUCAGACACACUGGAACUGAGACACGGUCCAGACUCCUACGGGAGGCAGCAGUAGGGAAUUUUCCGCAAUGGGCGAAAGCCUGACGGAGCAAUACCGCGUGAGGGAUGACGGCCUAUGGGUUGUAAACCUCUUUUUUCAGGGAGGAAUAAAUGACGUGUACCUGAAGAAUAAGCAUCGGCUAACUCCGUGCCAGCAGCCGCGGUAAGACGGAGGAUGCAAGUGUUAUCCGGAAUCACUGGGCGUAAAGCGUCUGUAGGUGGUCAAAUAAGUCAACUGUUAAAUCUUGAGGCUCAACCUCAAAACCGCAGUCGAAACUAUUAGACUAGAGUAUAGUAGGGGUAAAGGGAAUUUCCAGUGGAGCGGUGAAAUGCGUAGAGAUUGGAAGGAACACCGAUGGCGAAGGCACUUUACUGGGCUAUUACUAACACUCAGAGACGAAAGCUAGGGUAGCAAAUGGGAUUAGAUACCCCAGUAGUCCUAGCUGUAAACAAUGGAUACUAGAUGUUGAACAGAUCGACCUGUGCAGUAUCAAAGCUAACGCGUUAAGUAUCCCGCCUGGGAAGUAUGCUCGCAA
rnacentral:rRNA from 1 species